rnacentral:rRNA from 1 species
UACGUAGGGUGCAAGCGUUAAUCGGAAUUACUGGGCGUAAAGCGUGCGCAGGCGGUUUUGUAAGUUUGUCGUGAAAGCCCCGGGCUCAACCUGGGAAUUGCGAUGAAGACUGCAAGGCUUGAAUCUGGCAGAGGGGGGUAGAAUUCCACGUGUAGCAGUGAAAUGCGUAGAGAUGAUGGAGGAACACCGAUGGCGAAGGCAGCCCCCUGGGUCAAGAUUGACGCUCGAUGCACGAAAGCGUGGGGAGCAAACAGG